rnacentral:rRNA from 1 species
UACGGAGGGGGCGAGCGUUAUUCGGAAUUAUUGGGCGUAAAGGGCGCGUAGGCGGCUGUACAAGUCAAAGGUGAAAUCCCUCGGCUCAACUGAGGAACUGCCUUUGAAACUGUACGGCUUGAGGCCGGGAGGGGGUAGCGGAAUUCCCAGUGUAGCGGUGAAAUGCGUAGAUAUCAGGAGGAACACCGAUGGCGAAGGCAGCUUUCUGGUCUAAGACUGACGCUGAGGUGCGAAAGCGUGGGGAGCGAACGGG